AAAAGUUUUCACUCCUCCGUCCGGCUGGCAGGGGACAUCACUUGAGACGAGAUCCCCAGAAGGAGCAGGUCGAGGGGAGGAGGAGGAGAGGUGGAGGAGGAGGAGGAGAAGAGGGAAGAGAAGAGAGGAGAAGAGAAGGAAAAAGGGCAGGGGGUCAGAGAAGGAUCCGGGUGGGGGGGCUCCUAAUACUAUUCAGACCCGGCUAUCCACACGCUGCAACAAGUCGAAUCCCCGCCCUGCCCCCUAACACAUUAAAAUUCAUUUUUUUCUUAAAAAAGAGAAAGAUAGAGAGAAGUGGAUCUCCUCAUGGCUCCCUAAAAGUUUUGAUUUCCCAGGAUCUUUUUGGUGCUUUGGGCUUCCAGCUCUUUGGCCAAGUGCCCCCUUCACAAAACUGCCCCGCGGCCCCGGGUGAACGUGAGCAUGGACGCCCACACACGGUGGAAACGGCGAAGCUGGAUACGCGACUGCCCGCUCCUGGUCGCCACCUUCCUCCUCUCCGCCCUCUGGCCAAGCCAUGCAGAUGCUUACACUGGAUGGCAGAUCCUGCUGUGGGGGAUGAAAGAAGCCCAAGUGGGAGGUGGUGCUCUUACCAGAGGAGCACAGGACUCUGGAAUGAAAUGGAACAUGUCUGACCCUGAUGGUGAACCAGUGUUAUUUAGUUAUAGGAGAUUACUUUUUGUUAAAAAAAAAAAGAACAAAAAAUAAACAAAAAACCAUGAUGUCA
rnacentral:lncRNA from 1 species